CUCAUAUCCCCGGCUUCCGCUCUUAAUGAGAUCCAAUCGGAGAAGGGCUGCUCUCGUGGCUUUUGAUGGCUGUCACAUGUGGAAGUGAUUGCCGAAUCUUGUGCUGCCGACAGUAAGCGUGAGGACCAGAAAGCCCCGGGUGUGUCUCAGCAGCUCCAAGAGAGAGCAGUUUGUACUGGAGGCCUCACAGGGGCAGAUUCACUGAAGUGCAAGGUCAGAGAUUAUGACAAACCCAUUCUUCACCGUCUCAAAUGCAUCUGUUUUCUUAAAGAAAAACAUGGAACAAUAUGAGUCUGCUUGUUGAAAUUUCUCCUAGGAUUAACAGGACCGUCUUGUCCUUUCCCACGCUGAACAUCUGACUGCCCACCCCCUUCUGUGAGAGAAGUCUGAAAACCACGGCAAUGACCAUCAAAAAACCAACAACUUCCUCUGUCGCCUGCUCACUUCCUCUUUCUGCGUCUGAGGGCUCAACGGUGAAGUGAUGAUUAGCCAGGCGUUUGCGUGACAAUAAAGCAGCCAGACGCUCUUAGUUUCCCCCA
ensembl:lncRNA